CGGGUGAGUAACACGUGGUCAACCUUCCCGACAGUGGGGGAUAACUAGCCGAAAGGUUAGCUAAUACCGCAUACGAUCUACGAUCGGCAUCGAUUGUAGAUGAAAGGAGCAAUCCGCUUUCGGACGGGACCGCGUCCCAUUAGCUAGAUGGUGGGGUAAUGGCCUACCAUGGCGACGAUGGGUAGCUGGUUUGAGAGAGCGACCAGCCACACUGGGACUGAGAAACGGCCCAGACUCCUACGGGAGGCAGCAGUGAGGAAUUUUCCGCAAUGGGCGAAAGCCUGACGGAGCGACGCCGCGUGUGGGAAGAAGGCCUUCGGGUCGUAAACCACUGUCGAAGGGGAAAAUAAUGAUGGUACCCUUGGAGGAAGCCCCGGC
rnacentral:rRNA from 1 species